GAAUAAUUUUUUUUUUUUUAAUAUUUUGUUGAAAUUUAGUGACCCAUUUUUUAUCAUUAUAACGCUGUGAACUUUGAACAUGUUAAACGAUAAACGAAAAUGAAUUUAAAAAACCCUAAUUUAUUUAAAUACAAUUUUAAAAAGAAUGGCAUUACAUUUAGAUAGUUUAAUAUCUUUUCUAUACAAAUUCAUUUGAAUUUUGCUAAAAGAUGAUAAUAAAAAGCUUAAAUAUAAGUUUGUGAUUUGGAAUACCCUACUAAUUUCUUGUCCCCAACUGUCUAAGAGUGCCAGAGUGUGUGCGACACGCCACAAACAUAAAUGCGAAGUGUGUGGAACGUAAGUGGAUGCCGAGAGCAAGCUUACUCUCCCGCUCUCUCUCUCUCUCUUUUGGGGCUGCUUUGGCACUCAGCACACACAAGCAUGAACACCCCCUCUCAAACUCACACACACACACACACACACAGAGAUAGACCGCCUUUUUGCGCCGCCGAAACGAACACUUUUACGAAGGCGAAUCAGUUUCAUUUGUCAGUUCGAUCCAACUAGAAAGCAGUUAACGAGUAGUCUGUGUUCGCUUGCGGUUAAAAGCCACGAGCUUAAGCAAAAACCGCCGCCCAACAAUAACAACAACCAAUUCUACGAGUGUGUGUGUGUGUGUGUGAGCAAAAAAUUAUGCCAGCAGAAAUCUA